rnacentral:rRNA from 1 species
AUUGAACGCUGGCGGCAGGCUUAACACAUGCAAGUCGAGCGGGGAUGAGGUGCUUGCACCUUAUCUUAGCGGCGGACGGGUGAGUAAUGCUUAGGAAUCUGCCUAUUAGUGGGGGACAACAUUCCGAAAGGAAUGCUAAUACCGCAUACGUCCUACGGGAGAAAGCAGGGGAUCUUCGGACCUUGCGCUAAUAGAUGGGCCUAAGUCGGAUUAGCUAGGUGGUGGGGUAAAGGCCUACCAAGGCGACGAUCUGUAGCGGGUCUGAGAGGAUGAUCCGCCACACUGGGACUGAGACACGGCCCAGACUCCUACGGGAGGCAGCAGUGGGGAAUAUUGGACAAUGGGGGGAACCCUGAUCCAGCCAUGCCGCGUGUGUGAAGAAGGCCUUAUGGUUGUAAAGCACUUUAAGCGAGGAGGAGGCUACUGAGACUAAUACUCUUGGAUAGCGGACGUUUCUCGCAGAAUAAGCACCGGCUAACUCUGUGCCAGCCGCCGCAGUAACAC